rnacentral:rRNA from 1 species
UACGGGAGGCAGCAGUGGGGAAUAUUGCACAAUGGGCGCAAGCCUGAUGCAGCCAUGCCGCGUGUAUGAAGAAGGCCUUCGGGUUGUAAAGUACUUUCAGUCGUGAGGAAGGUGUUAAGGUUAAUAACCUUAGCAAUUGACGUUAGCGACAGAAGAAGCACCGGCUAACUCCGUGCCAGCAGCCGCGGUAAUACGGAGGGUGCGAGCGUUAAUCGGAAUUACUGGGCGUAAAGGGCACGCAGGCGGUUAAUUAAGUUGGAUGUGAAUCCCCGGGCUUAACCUGGGAAUGGCAUUCAAGACUGGUUAGCUAGAGUCUUGUAGAGGGGGUAGAAUUCCAUGUGUAGCGGUGAAAUGCGUAGAGAUGUGGAGGAAUACCGGGUGGCGAAGGCGGCCCCUGGGACAAAGACUGACGCUCAUGUGCGAAAGCGUGGGGAGCAAACAGGAUUAGAUACC